GAGCUGCCCACUUGUUGUGCCAUGCCUGGACUUGCCCUGCCCCGUCGCCCUUCAUCUGCCCGCUGGACGCGACCUGUCCCCCAGAGCCCCGCACACGAUGGGGUUAGGAACGCCUAGACGUGGGAUUUGUGCAGGAGACACCUCUGAAAUGACACACACACACCCCACCAGUGGCUCCUUCCAUGAUGGUGAAGGGCACAAAGCUCCGCUGCCUUCUGUCCCAGCCUCCAGCCCCCUGCUAGGGCCAUGCACCUGUACCUCACUUACGGGCCGGGUUUUUGUCUCCCUCUCUCCCUCCCAGGAGGGAGCCUGGGGCGGAGAGGAGAUGGGGCAAUGUAGGCUGUGGGAGGCUGAAGCCCUGAAAUGGUUGCGAUGUAUUGCCUCAACAGGCUGAAACAGCAGGAGUGGCUGAGGAACAUGGAAAAUUAGUGGCAAUUUCACUUAAGGUGUGGAUCAAUUAAAAUGUCAGAGAAGACAGCUGAGGAAUAGGGGACUGCUGUUUUUAAAGGGACCCUCUUGCAACUUUCAGUGCCAACAUUUUUUUUUUCUAGAAAACAAGCCUUUUAUACCACUUAUUUGACAAUGACCUUAGUUCAAGCAGCAAGAAACCUUCUCUAGAUUGGGUGUUUUGGAGAUCCGCAUCCAUCUGAGUUAUUAAGAACAAGUAGCAUAGGGAGUAGUCUUAAUGUUGCCUUUCCUUUCUCUCCUGGACUGGCAAAUAGGUCAUACCCAAAUCCAGCCACCACUGCUGAAGAUCUGCAAGCUGUACCAGCUGCCAGGCUGCAGGCACGUUCCCCUCAUGCACUCCUUUGUGUCACUUGCCACACGCCGUGUCGAUGGCAGAGGAAGCCUCUGGGAGCCUAAUCUGCCAAAUCCUGGCAUGCCUCAGGCCUGGCCUCCCCCUGCAGCUCCACUCCUGCACACCACUCGUUGUAAACUCAGUGGAUUCACAAGUGCUCUACAAUCUCUCUUUCCUCAUCUCAUUCCACAUUUCCUAAUCUUUUCCUGCUUCAGAGUUUGGAAAGAGCUCAUGUAAGGUGCCACCUUAAUUGUAACAGAGGACAGGUGGAUAUGGCACAAGCAUCUGGAAAGAGAAAAGGUAGAAAAGAAAUCUACUACAAUUCAAAGACAACAUAAGAGCUGAGGCAAAGGAUGGAAGGUAACAGUGGUCACCAGACUCACCAAGUGUUUAGAACAAAAGUGGACUGGGCAGCUGGACAGUGCAUGUAGAGGCUGGAAGAAAGGAGAUGAGCACUGGGCAACCUGCUGAAGGGAGCAGGCAACUUCCUACUGGACAUGUAAGCUGCAGUGACCAAGGGAAUGCUGCCAAUUACAAACGGGUCAGAAAUAGGGAAGGAAGUAUGUGGGUGCUACAAAAGAUGUCUUGGUCUCUGUCAGAGUCUACCUAUCUUUUAUUAUAACAUCUCCUGCCCGCUGCACUGCAGUUGUGCUGCUCCUGAGACCUCUUGUCUGAACAACCUUCUUGUUGCAGGUCAGGACAGAACUUGCCCCACUGUUCUCUCAGGGGAACUGAUAAACCCCUUGACAGAAGCACAGACAAAGCAAGGCAGUCCUCCAGGUUUUUUGUGUUAAAAAAAAUCAUACUGGUUAUUCAAAAGUGUUGCUAUUUUUUAUGCUACCCUGCUUGGAGAGAAAGGCAGUCCUCUGAGAGGCUUACAGUCUACAUUUAGAAGAAGAUGAGUCACAGGCAGGGAAAGGGACUCACUGGAAGGGAAAGAAUUAUACAAAGGUCAAAUGAGGGGGUUUGCAUCUCUUGCUUAUGGGCAUCACACAUUCCUGAGCAACAGGCAUAUCCCCCUUUCCUGGGUUAAUCCCAGUAUUCUCAUGAGCUUUGCAGGUCUGUUCCCAUUUGCCGUAAGCUGCUGCAAAUCCCAAAGGAGCACCCAGUCGGCUGAGCUGAUGGAACAGGCA